GCCUGCGCUGUCUCCCGCAUCCUCAACGCUCUGCUGGAGAACAACCAGUUGCCGGAUGGCCGUGUCCGUGUGCCCCCCGUUUUGCAGCCCCUGGUGGGUCAGGAGGUGCUGGCCCCCCCACCGGCCCCCCUGCUCCGCUACAUCGGCCCCAACCAGCCCGGGGGGGGGCAAGAGGUGGCCUGAGGUGGGGACACACACACACACGAGAGAACGACAACCCCCCGGGGGGACCCCAAUGUCCCACGGAAUGGGACAGCAGAGGGGACCCCCCCGACGGACAGGACACGGAGGCGGAAGGAUGUUCCCAAGGAGGGGGACACAGACACAGGAUGCACGUGACACGAGGACACAUGUGACACGUAGACACUCAGGCACGUGACAGGUGGACACACACGUUAACGAGCCCCCCCAUGUUAACGACUCCCUGCAAUAAACACCCAUUUUUGUGCCCCCCGCCCGCCA